rnacentral:rRNA from 1 species
GGUGAGUAACACGUGGGCAACCUGCCCUGCAGAUUGGGAUAACUCCGGGAAACCGGGGCUAAUACCGAAUAACAUUGAAAACCUCAUGGUUUUCUUUUGAAAGGCGGCUUCGGCUGUCACUGCAGGAUGGGCCCGCGGCGCAUUAGCUAGUUGGUGAGGUAACGGCUCACCAAGGCAACGAUGCGUAGCCGACCUGAGAGGGUGAUCGGCCACACUGGGACUGAGACACGGCCCAGACUCCUACGGGAGGCAGCAGUAGGGAAUCUUCCGCAAUGGACGAAAGUCUGACGGAGCAACGCCGCGUGAGUGAAGAAGGUUUUCGGAUCGUAAAACUCUGUUGUCAGGGAAGAACAAGUAUGGGAGUAACUGCCCGUACCUUGACGGUACCUGGCCAGAAAGCCACGGCUAACUACGUGCCAGCAGCCGCGGUAAUACGUAGGUGGCAAGCGUUGUCCGGAAUUAUUGGGCGUAAAGCGCGCGCAGGCGGCCUUUUAAGUCUGAUGUGAAAGCCCCCGGCUCAACCGGGGAGGGUCAUUGGAAACUGGAAGGCUUGAGUGCAGAAGAGAAGAGCGGAAUUCCACGUGUAGCGGUGAAAUGCGUAGAGAUGUGGAGGAACACCAGUGGCGAAGGCGGC